GGCCAGACUCCUACGGGAGGCAGCAGUGGGGAAUAUUGCACAAUGGGGGAAACCCUGAUGCAGCGACGCCGCGUGAGCGAUGAAGUAUUUCGGUAUGUAAAGCCCUAUCGGCAGGGAAGAAAUUGGACGGUACCUGACUAAGAAGCCCUGGCUAACUACGUGCCAGCAGCCGCGGUAAUACGUAGGGGGCAAGCGUUAUCCGGAUUCACUGGGUGUAAAGGGAGCGUAGACGGCCAUGCAAGCCUGGAGUGAAAGCCCGGGGCCCAACCCCGGGACUGCUCUGGGAACUGUGCGGCUGGAGUGCGGGAGGGGCAGGCGGAAUUCCUGGUGUAGCGGUGAAAUGCGUAGAUAUCAGGAGGAACACCGGCGGCGAAGGCGGCCUGCUGGACCGCGACUGACGUUGAGGCUCGAAAGCGUGGGGAGCAAACAGGAUUAGAUACCCCAGUACCC
rnacentral:rRNA from 1 species